rnacentral:rRNA from 1 species
GACGAACGCUGGCGGCGUGCCUAAUACAUGCAAGUAGAACGCUGAAGGAGGAGCUUGCUUCUCCGGAUGAGUUGCGAACGGGUGAGUAACGCGUAGGUAACCUGCCUGGUAGCGGGGGAUAACUAUUGGAAACGAUAGCUAAUACCGCAUAAGAGUAGAUGUCGCAUGACAUUUGCUUAAAAGGUGCAACUGCACCACUACCAGAUGGACCUGCGUUGUAUUAGCUAGUUGGUGAGGUAACGGCUCACCAAGGCAACGAUACAUAGCCGACCUGAGAGGGUGAUCGGCCACACUGGGACUGAGACACGGCCCAGACUCCUACGGGAGGCAGCAGUAGGGAAUCUUCGGCAAUGGACGGAAGUCUGACCGAGCAACGCCGCGGGAGUGAAGAAGGUUUUCGGAUCGUAAAGCUCUGUUGUAAGAGAAGAACGAGUGUGAGAGUGGAAAGUUCACACUGUGACGGUAUCUUACCAGAAAGGGACGGCUAACUACGUG